GUCCACGCUGUAAACGAUGAUCACUCGUGAUCGGCGAUACACUGUCGGUCACCUAGCGAAAGCGUUAAGUGAUCCACCUGGGGAGUACGAUCGCAAGAUUGAAACUCAAAGGAAUUGACGGGGGCCCGCACAAGCGGUGGAGCAUGUGGUUCAAUUCGAUGAUACGCGAGGAACCUUACCAGGGCUCGAACGCACGUGGACAGGGGCGGAAACGUCCUCUUCUUCGGACCGCGUGCGAGGUGCUGCAUGGCUGUCGU
rnacentral:rRNA from 1 species